CCUGCCCCAUGUUGUUUCUUCUGGUCGCACCUGUGACCCUCAGUUGCUAGUUACCCAGGGAGCUUUAGAAAAGACAGAAACCCUUAGGUGGUGUCAUGGCAUCCCAGAGACACCCCCUGUCUGCUUAUCUCUCAGCUUGACCGCUUGACCGGUGAAGCGUGGACAGAUUGGGGCUGGGCACCUUUCGAAACGGAGACAUGUGCCAGGAGUGGGGGGUGGGCAGAGAGAGAGAGAGUCAGAGAGUGAGAGAGAGACAGAGACAGAGAGAGACAGAGACAGAGAGAGAUUGACAUAUAUGAGUGAAGACUGUUGUCAAGGACUGGAAACCCUUCCCCACCUUGACAACAGGUAUUAAAUAGAUCAUGCUCCAGAAAAGCGCAGGAAGAAGCAGCUCAGCACUUCCUGAUCUAUUCCUGAGGUCCACCAUUCUCUCUCACCUGUGGAUCCCCACUGGAGUUGAACUGUCUCUGACCUGUGGACCCACUCUUCUGUCCGUGUCUUGUCCUAAGUGAAUGACUUGGUGUGACCUGCCUCUGAGAACAGCAGGAUCCCUGGGGAUGUCACCUGGAGAGAUGAUCCCCACAGCGCCUGCUCACGGAGUUGUGGGGACAACACAGAGACUCACAUUUUUCUGAAGAAUCUCUGACAUCCUCUAUGAAGCUAUUAAUCAUUGAUAUUAGCACUAGUAUUUAAAUUAUCAUUUCCUCUCAUUAGGAUCUGGUGGCUGGCCAGUCAGUUGAGAGGAAAUUUAAAAAAAGAUAUAAUUGAUGACUUUAUUUUUUUCACUUUUAAUAAGAAAUUGUAAAGUCAAGUCACACAAUACUUUAUACAUACCUCAAA